rnacentral:tRNA from 1 species
GCGUUCAUAGCUCAGUUGGUUAGAGCACCACCUUGACAUGGUGGGGGUCGUUGGCUCGAGUCCAAUUGAACGCACCA